rnacentral:misc_RNA from 1 species
AACCAUAGAAACCUGCGGAGUACCUGCGGAGGGAUCAUUAUUGAAUACUAUUGAGCGCUGUGCUGGCCUUUCGGGGCAUGUGCACGCGUUCUUUAUUAUCAUCUAUCUCUUGUGAACCUAGUGUGGGCUUUGGAGGAACAAGUUGGUCUUUUUAGGCCUUCUGGGGAAUCUGAAGACCAUUUUUUAUAAACAUUUAAAAAAGUUAACAGAAUGUCUUCUUUACUUGACGCAAGUCAGUAA